CCUACGUGUGGCAGCAGUGAGGAAUAUUGGUCAAUGGGCGGAAGCCUGAACCAGCCAAGUAGCGUGCAGGAUGACGGCCCUACGGGUUGUCAACUGCUUUUAUACGGGAAUAACGCGCCUUACGUGUAGGGCUUUGCAUGUACCGUAUGAAUAAGGACCGGCUAAUUCCGUGCCAGCAGCCGCUGUAAUCCGGAAGGUCCGGUCGUUAUCCGGAUUUAUUGGGUUUAAAGGGAGCGUAGGCCGCAUGUCAAACGUGCUGUGAAAUGUCCGGGCUCACCCCGGUCGUUGCAGCGCGAACUGGCGUACUUGAGUCCGCGGAAAGAAGGCGGAAUUCGGCGUGGAGCGGGG
rnacentral:rRNA from 1 species